rnacentral:lncRNA from 1 species
GUGAGACGGAGUCUUGCUCUGUCGCCCAGGCUGGAGUGCAGUGGCGCAAUCUCGCCUCAUUGCAAGCUCCACCUCCCGGGUGCACGCCAUUCCCCUGCCUCAGCCUCCUGAGUAGCUGGGAUUACAGGCUGAAGAAGGAGAACUGCUUGAACUCGGGAGGCAGAGGGUGCAGUGAACCAAGAUCGCACCACUGCACUCCACCUCUGGGCAACAAAGCAAGACCCCGUCUCAGGGAGAAAAAAAAGACACUAUCCAGUGACAACGGCAAGAGAAACAGGUCAUAAUUUGUUAAUGAGAUGGCAACUUUGGUCAAACCUUUUCUGAGGGUAGUUUGGCAGAAGUGAUCAAAAUUUAAAAUGCACAUGAACUAGGACCUAGAAAUACCCAUUAUAGGAACCUGCUCAACAGAAAUACCAAGUAUAGAAGUAUAAGAAUUUUCACAUCCACAUUAUUUGGGAAAGCAUUUUCCCAUUUAUACAUUUUUUCAAGAGGAGACUGCCUAUAAAUUAUGCUAUAUUCAUACUUGAAAUAUUAUGCAGCCAUUAAAAAAAUAUGGAAGGUUAUUCAUGAGAUACCACUGAGCGAAAAAAAACAAGCUACUGAGUAGUGCACAAUAUUCCAUUUUUGUGUUAAAAAAGUAAAUUUCUAUGAUAUGGUAAUAUUCAAAA